rnacentral:rRNA from 1 species
UACAGAGGUCCCAAGCGUUGUUCGGAUUUACUGGGCGUAAAGGGUGCGUAGGCGGUUCGCUAAGUCGGUUGUGAAAUCCCUGGGCUUAACCUGGGAACUGCAGUCGAUACUGCCGGGCUAGAGUCCGGAAGAGGCGAGUGGAAUUCCUGGUGUAGCGGUGGAAUGCGCAGAUAUCAGGAGGAACACCCAUAGCGAAGGCAGCUCGCUGGGACGGUACUGACGCUGAGGCACGAAAGCUGGGGGAGCAAACAGG